rnacentral:rRNA from 1 species
GAUGAACACUAGCUACAGGCUUAACACAUGCAAGUCGAGGGGCAGCACAGUGUAGCAAUACAUGGGUGGCGACCGGCGCACGGGUGCGUAACGCGUAUCCAACCUUCCCGAUACUCAGGGAUAGCCUUCCGAAAGGGAGAUUAAUACCUGAUGGUGUUCAAAUUCCGCAUGUUAUUUGAACUAAAGAUUUAUCGGUAUCGGAUGGGGAUGCGUGACAUUAGAUAGUAGGCGGGGUAACGGCCCACCUAGUCUACGAUGUCUAGGGGUUCUGAGAGGAAGGUCCCCCACACUGGAACUGAGACACGGUCCAGACUCCUACGGGAGGCAGCAGUGAGGAAUAUUGGUCAAUGGUCGGAAGACUGAACCAGCCAAGUAGCGUGAAGGAUGAAGGUUCUAUGGAUUGUAAACUUCUUUUAUACGGGAAUAAAACCUCCCACGUGUGGGAGCUUGUAUGUACCGUAUGAAUAAGCAUCGGCUAACCCCGUGCCAGCCGCCGCCGUAAUAC